rnacentral:rRNA from 1 species
AGCGAACGCUGACGGCAGGCCUAACACAUGCAAGUCGAACGGACCCUUCGGGGUUAGUGGCGGACGGGUGAGUAACACGUGGGAACGUGCCUUUAGGUUCGGAAUAGCUCCUGGAAACGGGUGGUAAUGCCGAAUGUGCCCUUCGGGGGAAAGAUUUAUCGCCUUUAGAGCGGCCCGCGUCUGAUUAGCUAGUUGGUGGUGUAACGGACCACCAAGGCGACGAUCAGUAGCUGGUCUGAGAGGAUGAUCAGCCACAUUGGGACUGAGACACGGCCCAAACUCCUACGGGAGGCAGCAGUGGGGAAUCUUGCGCAAUGGGCGAAAGCCUGACGCAGCCAUGCCGCGUGAAUGAUGAAGGUCUUAGGAUUGUAAAAUUCUUUCACCGGGGACGAUAAUGACGGUACCCGGAGAAGAAGCCCCGGCUAACUUCGUGCCAGCCGCCGCGGUAAAAC